UUCCCACAAAAACCCGCUCUUUAAAGCUUAAUCGGAGUAAACAACAAGCCAAAUUGAUGUUUAUUUUGAUUGAGUGCUAAAGAGCAGGUUUUUGGAGGAA